rnacentral:rRNA from 1 species
AUUGAACGCUGGCGGCAGGCCUAACACAUGCAAGUCGAGCGAGAGGCGGACGGGUGAGUAAUGUCUGGGAAACUGCCUGAUGGAGGGGGAUAACACCUGGAAGCGGUAGCUAAUACCGCAUAAACUAAAACAGGACCAAAUGGGAGUAGCUAGUAGGUGGGGGAACGGCUCACAUAGGCGACGAUCCCUAGCGGGUCUGAGAGGAUGAGCAGCCACACGGGAAUGAAGCCCAGGUCCCGACUCCUACGUGAGGCAGAGUUGGGGAAUAUUGCACAAUGAGCGCAAGCCUGAUGAAGCCAUGCCGCGUGUGUGAGGAAGGCCUUCGGUGUUAAAAGCACUUUCAGCGGGGAGGCGUUACCCGCAGAAGAAGCACCGGCUAACUCCGUGCCAGCAGCCGCGGUAAUUC